rnacentral:rRNA from 1 species
AUUGAACGCUGGCGGCAGGCCUAACACAUGCCAGUCGAACGGUAACAGGGAUCAGCUUGCUGAUUCGCUGACGAGUGGCGGACGGGUGAGUAAUGUCUGGGAAACUGCCUGAUGGAGGGGGAUAACUACUGGAAACGGUAGCUAAUACCGCAUAACGUCGCAAGACCAAAGAGGGGGACCUUCGGGCCUCUUGCCAUCGGAUGUGCCCAGAUGGGAUUAGCUAGUAGGUGGGGUAACGGCUCACCUAGGCGACGAUCCCUAGCUGGUCUGAGAGGAUGACCAGCCACAAUGGAACUGAGACACGGUCCAGACUCCUACGGGAGGCAGCAGUGGGGAAUAUUGCACAAUGGGCGCAAGCCUGAUGCAGCCAUGCCGCGUGUAUGAAGAAGGCCUUCGGGUUGUAAAGUACUUUCAGCGGGGAGGAAGGGAGUAAAGUUAAUACCUUUGCUCAUUGACGUUACCCGCAGAAGAAGCACCGGCUAACUCCGUG